AUUGAACGCUGGCGGCAGGCUUAACACAUGCAAGUCGAGCGGGGAAAUAUAGCUUGCUAUAUGACCUAGCGGCGGACGGGUGAGUAAUGCUUAGGAAUCUGCCUAUUAGUGGGGGACAACAUUUCGAAAGGGAUGCUAAUACCGCAUACGCCCUACGAGGGAAAGCAGGGGAUCAUUUGACCUUGCGCUAAUAGAUGAGCCUAAGUCGGAUUAGCUAGUUGGUGGGGUAAAGGCCUGCCAAGGCGACGAUCUGUAGCGGGUCUGAGAGGAUGAUCCGCCACACUGGGACUGAGACACGGCCCAGACUCCUACGGGAGGCAGCAGUGGGGAAUAUUGGACAAUUGGGGGAACCCUGAUCCAGCCAUGCCGCGUGUGUGAAGAAGGCCUUUUGGUUGUAAAGCACUUUAAGCGAGGAGGAGGCUCCUGUAGAUAAUACCUACAGAGAGUGGACGUUACUCGCAGAAUAAGCACCGGCUAACUCUGUGCCAGCAGCCGCAGUAAUAC
rnacentral:rRNA from 1 species